rnacentral:tRNA from 1 species
AAGAAAAUGGCAGAGCGGUUAUGCAGCUAGCUUGAAAUUAGCGCACGGGGGUUCAAUUCCCUCUUUUCUCG